GUGGGGAAUCUUCCGCAAUGGACGAAAGUCUGACGGAGCAACGCCGCGUGAGUGAUGAAGGUCUUCGGAUUGUAAAGCUCUGUUAAUCGGGACGAAAGAGCCUAGUGUGAAUAAUGCUAGGAAGUGACGGUACCGGAAUAGAAAGCCACGGCUAACUACGUGCCAGCAGCCGCGGUAAUACGUAGGUGGCAAGCGUUGUCCGGAAUUAUUGGGCGUAAAGCGCGCGCAGGCGGAUCUGCCAGUCUGUCUUAAAAGUUCGGGGCUUAACCCCGUGAUUGGAUGGAAACUACAGAUCUAGAGUAUCGGAGAGGAAAGUGGAAUUCCUAGUGUAGCGGUGAAAUGCGUAGAUAUUAGGAAGAACACCAGUGGCGAAGGCGACUUUCUGGACGAAAACUGACGCUGAGGCGCGAAAGCCAGGGGAGCGAACGGGAUUAGAUACCCGAGUAGUCC
rnacentral:rRNA from 1 species